rnacentral:rRNA from 1 species
UGCCAGCAGCCGCGGUAAUACGGAGGGUGCGAGCGUUAAUCGGAAUUACUGGGCGUAAAGCGUGCGCAGGCGGUUUUAUAAGUCAGAUGUGAAAUCCCCGAGCUCAACUUGGGAACUGCGUUUGAAACUGUAAGACUAGAGUGUGUCAGAGGGGGGUAGAAUUCCAUGUGUAGCAGUGAAAUGCGUAGAUAUAUGGAGGAAUACCAAUGGCGAAGGCAGCCCCCUGGGAUAACAAUGACGCUCAUGCACGAACGCUUGGUGAGCAAACAGGAUUAGAUA